rnacentral:rRNA from 1 species
ACGAACGCUGGCGGCGUGCCUCAUACAUGCAAGUAGCACGCUGAAGAGAGGAGCUUGCUCUUCUUGGAUGAGUUGCGAACGGGUGAGUAACGCGUAGGUAACCUGCCUUGUAGCGGGGGAUAACUAUUGGAAACGAUAGCUAAUACCGCAUAACAAUGGAUGACUCAUGUCAUUUAUUUGAAAGGGGCAAUUGCUCCACUACAAGAUGGACCUGCGUUGUAUUAGCUAGUAGGUGAGGUAAUGGCUCACCUAGGCGACGAUACAUAGCCGACCUGAGAGGGUGAUCGGCCACACUGGGACUGAGACACGGCCCAGACUCCUACGGGAGGCAGCAGUAGGGAAUCUUCGGCAAUGGGGGCAACCCUGACCGAGCAACGCCGCGUGAGUGAAGAAGGUUUUCGGAUCGUAAAGCUCUGUUGUAAGUCAAGAACGGGUGUGAGAGUGGAAAGUUCACACUGUGACGGUAGCUUACCAGAAAGGGACGGCUAACUACGUG